rnacentral:lncRNA from 1 species
AGCCUUUACGUCGAGAUCGCGUUUCCGUUUUUAAGAAAAUUUUAGAAAAUAGAUUUUAGCAAUUAAAAAAAUCACAUAACAAAAGAUCUUCAAAUAAUAAUAAUCACAUAAUUACUAAUAAUAAUAGAUGUUAUAUGAUUAAAUUCAAUGUAAAACUCAAAUACAAUACCUAUCCUUCUGGAUAAAAUAAAAACCCUAAAGCAACAAGGACGAGGGAACUCUAUAAAAACAACAGGAAUCACAAGUAAAUCUACGAAUCGUCUGCAGCUUUUUACUGAAUCUCCGAACCUGUGUCACUGAAAGGGUGGAAGAUUUGGGGUGAGAACAAACCACACGUUCUCAAUAGGGAAUGGAAAUGGAAUAAAAUGCAAAUAACUAACUUUACUCAAUAAAAAUAUAUUUUUAUCAAACCCUUUGAAAAUACUCUUGGUUCUACUUUAGAUAAUUAAUUACCUCCUUUUAAAAUCUCUUAACUCAAAACAAAACUUAAAUAUAAAAUUAGUCACACUUUCUGUCUCUCAGCCACAUAUUAAUCCUCAGCCAAAUGUCAACUCGUAAUCACUUUAAUACACUCACAAACAAGUAGUGCAAACAAGAGAUUCAAUUCAAUGUACAAGCAAAUCACAAUAAGACAAACAAUACAAUCACAAAGUAAUAAGACAAGCAAGCGCAAUCAAAUGCAAAUGUGCAAACAACAUGAUGCAUGUCUAUCCCUAACACAGGCCAUGAGCUCAUGUGUCGGUUGCCUACCUGCUCCCGACAUUAUCCGGGCACGAGUCCCAGAUAUGAUUUUCCAGAUGCAUCAGUGUGCUUAUAAGUCGUACGGCCAGGCCGCAUCAGUGUGACUUUAAGUCGUACGGCUAGGCCGCAUCAGUGUGACUUUCCAAAUCAAUAAGCGUACAUCUGAAAAACAGUUCUCAGUGUGUGGGCGUCCCCACUUUACAUUUGGCACUAAGGCCCAAACAAUGUCACAUCUGCUCUCCUGUGGCAGACACUUCAUUAAUUAAUAUAUUCUUUAAAUCCUUGUUCUCUGCUCUCCUGUGGCAGAGAUUCCUUUUCUUAAUAAACCGAGCUCAAAUCUUUACUUAAAACAAAAUCUCUCCUUAAAAGAUUAGGUUUAAAACAUUAUAUUUUUCUUAAUAAAUCAAACUUUAAAAUAGAAUAAAUCUUUUCUUAACUAAAUAUAUUUUAAAUAAUUUAAUUUUUCAGAACCAAAUCUUUUAAAAUAACUUUUCAAACAAAACCUCAGAUUUAAUAAAAUUUCGGCAGCACUUCCCCUAAACUUGGGGUUAGCCACUCUUUUUCGGGUCCCAACUGAACCAUUUUCAACCUCUUUUCAAUCAAGAAAUCAAAUACAUAUUCAUCAAAUUCAGUCACAAACACAACUCAAACUCAUCAUUCAGUCAUUGCAAACAAUCAUAAAUUAUUUAAAAUACCCACUAGACUUUCAUGGCAUUCAUAGUUUAAAAAUAGUUAAUUUCAAAACAAAAUCCCCUACCUUCGUAUGAAAUCAAAAUUAUCGAAAGCUCCGGAGAAGCUUUCUGACCGAGCUGCUGAAGGAGAAAGCGUCAGAAAUCGUCUGUGCUUCCUAGAACUCCAGUUAACCGAACUCAAGGGGUAGGAGAGCUACGUCACCGUCGACUUCCACCAGAAAAAGGUAACACCAUCAUGUAGAAGAGGAGGAUACGAACACUUUUAUCGGAUUAGAUUUUUGAUUAGAGUUACGAAUCACAAGAAAUCAAGACCGGAAGAUCAAAGGAGCUUCGGUUCUCUUUUUUUCUCUCUCGGUCAGUUUUCUUUCUCUUCUUUCCCGUAACAAGUAUG